GGCCUCACUCACGGCAUAUGGAACUAACCACGCCCCUAACUAAGAAGGCACACCUUAGUUGCAGUUAGCACACAAUUAAAGCAACUCUCCAAGUUUUACCUUAAAGUUCAAAAUUGCUAGGAGUUGAAACUACUAGAAAUAUAUUUACAUGCAAGAGUCAAAGAAACUUUGAACUAUUUAUGGCCUUUAAUAAUUAAGUAAGGUAUACUCCUGUGAUCAAGACUUGGAGCAUAUUUGUUUCUCUCUGCCUGGUUCCUCUAGAAAUUGGAAACUAUCAUGUGUGACACAUGUGCUCAUGGAUUAUUGUCCGAAGCAAGACAUGUGACCAAGCCUAACAUCAACUGGGUGAAGAGCUAUAUGUUCCUUUCUCAAGAGGCACUACAAGUGACAUGCCACUGGGCAG